rnacentral:rRNA from 1 species
ACUCCUACGGGAGGCAGCAGUAGGGGAAUCUUCCACAAUGGGCGCAAGCCUGAUGGAGCAACACCGCGUGAGUGAAGAAGGGUUUCGGCUCGUAAAGCUCUGUUGUUAAAGAAGAACACGUAUGAGAGUAACUGUUCAUACGUUGACGGUAUUUAACCAGAAAGUCACGGCUAACUACGUGCCAGCAGCCGCGGUAAUACGUAGGUGGCAAGCGUUAUCCGGAUUUAUUGGGCGUAAAGAGAGUGCAGGCGGUUUUCUAAGUCUGAUGUGAAAGCCUUCGGCUUAACCGGAGAAGUGCAUCGGAAACUGGAUAACUUGAGUGCAGAAGAGGGUAGUGGAACUCCAUGUGUAGCGGUGGAAUGCGUAGAUAUAUGGAAGAACACCAGUGGCGAAGGCGGCUACCUGGUCUGCAACUGACGCUGAGACUCGAAAGCAUGGGUAGCGAACAGGAUUAGAUACCCUGGUAGGAUAGCC